rnacentral:rRNA from 1 species
AUUGUGAGUUCGAUGAGUAGGGCGGGACACGUGACAUCCUGUCUGAAUAUGGGGGGACCAUCCUCCAAGGCUAAAUACUCCUGACUGACCGAUAGUGAACCAGUACCGUGAGGGAAAGGCGAAAAGAACCCCGGCGAGGGGAGUGAAAUAGAACCUGAAACCGUGUACGUACAAGCAGUGGGAGCCUUGAUUAAUCAGGGUGACUGCGUACCUUUUGUAUAAUGGGUCAGCGACUUAUAUUCUGUAGCAAGGUUAACCGUAUAGGGGAGCCGUAGGGAAACCGAGUCUUAACUGGGCGUUAAGUUGCAGGGUAUAGACCCGAAACCCGGUGAUCUAGCCAUGGGCAGGUUGAAGGUUGGGUAACACUAACUGGAGGACCGAACCGACUAAUGUUGAAAAAUUAGCGGAUGACUUGUGGCUGGGGGUGAAAGGCCAAUCAAACCGGGAGAUAGCUGGUUCUCCCCGAAAGCUAUUUAGGUAGCGCCUCGUGAAUUCAUCUUCGGGGGUAGAGCACUGUUUCGGCUAGGGGGUCAUCCCGACUUACCAACCCGAUGCAAACUACGAAUACCGAAGAAUGUUAUCACGGGAGACACACGGCGGGUGCUAACGUUCGUCGUGAAGAGGGAAACAACCCAGACCGCCAGCUAAGGUCCCAAAGUCAUGGUUAAGUGGGAAACGAUGUGGGAAGGCACAGACAGCCAGGAUGUUGGCUUAGAAGCAGCCAUCAUUUAAAGAAAGCGUAAUAGCUCACUGGUCGAGUCGGCCUGCGCGGAAGAUGUAACGGGGCUAAACCAUGCACCGAAGCUGCGGCAGCGACACU